ensembl:snRNA U6 U6 spliceosomal RNA
GUGCUCACUUCAGCAGCACAUAUAGUAAAACUGAACAAUACAGAGAUUAGCACAGCCCCUACGUACAGAUGACAUGCAAAUUCGUGACGUGUGCCAUAUUUUA